rnacentral:rRNA from 1 species
UGGCGGACGGGUGAGUAACGCGUGGAAAACCUGCCGUAUACUGGGGGAUAACACUUAGAAAUAGGUGCUAAUACCGCAUAAGCGCACAGCUUCGCAUGAAGCGGUGUGAAAAACUCUGGUGGUAUACGAUGGUUCCGCGUCUGAUUAGCUAGUUGGUGGGGUAAUGGCCUACCAAGGCAACGAUCAGUAGCCGGCCUGAGAGGGUGAACGGCCCACAUUGGGACUGAGACACGGCCCAAACUCCUACGGAAGGCAGCAG